rnacentral:rRNA from 1 species
UGGGGAAUAUUGCACAAUGGGCGAAAGCCUGAUGCAGCAACGCCGCGUGAGUGAUGAAGGUCUUCGGAUUGUAAAGCUCUGUCUUUUGGGACGAUAAUGACGGUACCAAAGGAGGAAGCCACGGCUAACUACGUGCCAGCAGCCGCGGUAAUACGUAGGUGGCGAGCGUUGUCCGGAUUUACUGGGCGUAAAGGGUGCGUAGGCGGAUGUUUAAGUGAGAUGUGAAAUACCCGGGCUUAACUUGGGUGCUGCAUUUCAAACUGGAUAUCUAGAGUGUAGGAGAGGAGAAUGGAAUUCCUAGUGUAGCGGUGAAAUGCGUAGAGAUUAGGAAGAACACCAGUGGCGAAGGCGAUUCUCUGGACUGUAACUGACGCUGAGGCACGAAAGCGUGGGUAGCAAACAGGAUUAGAUACCCUGGUAGUCCACGCCGUAAACGAUGAGUACUAGGUGUAGGAGGUAUCGACCCCUUCUGUGCCGCAGUAAACACAUUAAGUACUCCGCCUG